rnacentral:rRNA from 1 species
CAGUCGCCACGGUAAUACGGAGGGUGCAAGCGUUAAUCGGAAUUACUGGGCGUAAAGCGUGCGUAGGCGGUUUGUUAAGUCUGCUGUGAAAUCCCCGGGCUCAACCUGGGAAUGGCAGUGGAUACUGGCAAGCUAGAGUGUGUCAGAGGAUGGUGGAAUUCCCGGUGUAGCGGUGAAAUGCGUAGAGAUCGGGAGGAACAUCAGUGGCGAAGGCGGCCAUCUGGGACAACACUGACGCUGAGGCACGAAAGCGUGGGGAGCAAACAGGAUUAGAUACCCGCGUAGUCCCUGUCUCUUAUAC